rnacentral:RNase_P_RNA from 1 species
ACGUUCGGGUAAUCGCUGUAAUGCUAUUUAGGGCAUUGCAGAGGAAAGUCCAUGCUCGCACGGUGCUGAGACGCCCGUAGUGUUCGUGCCUGGCGAAAAAAUAAGCCAGGGCAGCCUGGGAAAGGCUGACGGCAGGAAAAAUGCCUACGUCCUUUUUAGGAUAUGGCAAAG